rnacentral:lncRNA from 1 species
GAAUCCCCGGUGGGCCGACGAGGUUGAUGGUCCAAAAUACCGGCCCACUUCCACAGCUGCCGACUGCAAGGCCAGCUAAAUGUUUCAGCUUCAGUCAAUCACGUCCGCAGAUUCUAAAACAAUUGGAGCCAAUCACGUUCGCACAGUCGAAAACAUUUCACCAAUCACGGCAGAAAUCCUGGAGAGCGACGUCAGGCACACGGCAGAAAUUCUGGAAGGCGACGUUACAUUGCUUACGCUAGACCUGAGGGGGCGGGUAAUUCAAAGAGUGAAGCUAGCCGGAUGCUUAAGGAAUCAACCGAGGCAGAUUAUCGACAUGGUGUCAAACCCCCGUAUCGGGGUGGAGUCGUUGCUGGUGACGGUCAUCAGAAAAGCACCAGCCCAGCGGAAGGCAGGGAGAGCCAGAGUCUGGCCGGGGAAGUGCUUCAGACUCUAGACAGAGAAGGCCUACAAGACAUAAAUGCAGGUAUAACACGCACGCACAGACACACACACAUACCCAGGCCAGGACGCACAGACACACACAAGCGGGCACGCACAGACACACGCACAUACCCAGGCCAGGACGCACAGACACACACAAGCGGGCACGCACAGACACACGCACACACAGACACACGCACAUACCCAGGCCAGGACGCACAGACACACACAAGCGGGCACGCACAGACACACAGGCAGGCACGCCGCACAGACAGACAGGCACGCACGCCGCGCAGACACAGGCAGGCAGGCAGGCAGGCAGGCAGGCACGCCACACAGACGUAGGCAGGCACAAGCAGGAACGGACACACAGACGCACGCACGCACGCUCGCACACCUCAACUCUCUACACAGAGAAGGCCUAAAAGACAGAGAUGCCGGUAGAACACAUGCACACACACACUCACACACUGCUCAACACUCUCCAGCUACCAGGCAAAAGGGAGGUUCUUUCUUCCACCACACUGGUCAUUUAGUUUGUCACUGGAUCUCCCAACUUAAUGGCGUUUGGGCUGCUCUAAGUGUUUGUUUGUUUGUAUUGUGUCCCUCUGUAGUUGGAAAUUAUCCCCAACUGGCCCUCCCUUAAACAUCGCCGGCACCUUUAUCUAUUUACCAUAUAGGCUUACUCAGAACACGCAUUAUUUCCUCUACUAACUUUAAUAAGUUCAAAUCACUGACUGAAUUUUAUACUCCUCCUUGCGAUCUGUAUUCACACUCAUGGUGCUUAUUUUUCGAAAAUGUUCUGAAGUGUCUUCUGAAAUGUGUUCUUACGG